GACGAACGCUGGCGGCGUGCUUAACACAUGCAAGUCGAGCGGUAAGGCCCUUUCGGGGGUACACGAGCGGCGAACGGGUGAGUAACACGUGGGUGACCUGCCUCUAGCUCUGGGAUAAGCCUGGGAAGCUGGGUCUAAUACCGGAUAUGACCUCGCGGUGCAUGUUGCGGGGUGGAAAGCCUUGUGCGGCUAGGGAUGGGCCCGCGGCCUAUCAGCUUGUUGGUGGGGUGANGGCCUACCAAGGCGACGACGGGUAGCCGGCCUGAGAGGGCGACCGGCCACACUGGGACUGAGACACGGCCCAGACUCCUACGGGAGGCAGCAGUGGGGAAUCUUGCGCAAUGGGCGAAAGCCUGACGCAGCGACGCCGCGUGAGGGAUGACGGCCUCGGUUGUAACCG
rnacentral:rRNA from 1 species